UGAUAUGGCUCAGAGGUGAAAGCAUCUGCUUGCAAGGUAGGAGACCAGGGUUCAAUCCCUGGGUCA
rnacentral:tRNA from 1 species